CCUGGCGGCGUGCUACACAUGCAGUCGAACGCGAAGGGGGCAACCCGAGUAGAGUGGCGUCGGGUGACGGGAAUAAACACGUGGAUAAUCUACCUUUGGAUGGGGAAUAACUCCGCGAAAGUGGAGCUAAUACCGCAUAACAGGUUUAGGGGGCAUCCUUGAAAUCUCAAAGCGGGGGACCGCAAGGCCUCGCGUCCGAAGAGGAGUCCGCGGCCGAUUAGCUAGUUGGUGAGGUAAAGGCUCACCAAGGCUGCGAUCGGUAGCCGGCCUGAGAGGGUGACCGGCCACACUGGCACUGAAACACGGGCCAGACUCCUACGGGAGGCAGCAGUGGGGAAUUUUGGGCAAUGGCCGAAAGGCUGACCCAGCAACGCCGCGUGAAGGAUGAAAUCUUACGGGAUGUAAACUUCGUAAGUCAGGGAA
rnacentral:rRNA from 1 species